rnacentral:rRNA from 1 species
UACGAAGGGGGCUAGCGUUGCUCGGAAUUACUGGGCGUAAAGCGCACGUAGGCGGUUUCUUAAGUCGGGGGUGAAAUCCUGGAGCUCAACUCCAGAACUGCCUUCGAUACUGGGAAACUUGAGUCCGGGAGAGGUGAGUGGAACUGCGAGUGUAGAGGUGAAAUUCGUAGAUAUUCGCAAGAACACCAGUGGCGAAGGCGGCUCAGUGGCCCGGUACUGACGCUGAGGUGCGAAAGCGUGGGGAGCAAACAGG